GGGUUAUUAGCUCAGUCGGUAGAGCACUUGACUCUUAAUCAAGGUGUCACUGGUUCGAUCCCAGUAUAACCCACCA
rnacentral:tRNA from 1 species